rnacentral:rRNA from 1 species
GCGGAAGAUGUAACGGGGCUAAACAUACCACCGAAGCUACGGGUGCAGCCCAUUAGGGUUGCGCGGUAGAGGAGCGUUCUGUAAGCCUGUGAAGGUGAGUUGAGAAGCUUGCUGGAGGUAUCAGAAGUGCGAAUGCUGACAUGAGUAACGACAAUGCGAGUGAAAAACUCGCACGCCGAAAGACCAAGGGUUCCUGCGCAACGUUAAUCGACGCAGGGUGAGUCGGUCCCUAAGGCGAGGCUGAAAGGCGUAGUCGAUGGGAAACGGGUUAAUAUUCCCGUACUUCUAGUUACUGCGAUGGGGGGACGGAGAAGGCUAGGCCAGCUUGGCGUUGGUUGUCCAAGUUUAAGGUGGUAGGCUGACUGUUUAGGUAAAUCCGGACAGUUAAGGCCGAGAGCUGAUGACGAUCCUUCUUUUAGAAGGAGAAGUGGUUGAUGCCAUGCUUCCAGGAAAAGCCUCUAAGCUUCAGGUAACUAGGAACCGUACCCCAAACCGACACAGGUGGUCAGGUAGAGAAUACCAAGGCGCUUGAGAGAACUCGGGUGAAGGAACUAGGCAAAAUGGCACCGUAACUUCGGGAGAAGGUGCGCCGGCGUAGAUUGUAACCCCUUGCGGGUGAAGGUUGAACCGGUCGAAGAUACCAGCUGGCUGCAACUGUUUAUUAAAAACACAGCACUCUGCAAACACGAAAGUGGACGUAUAGGGUGUGAUGCCUGCCCGGUGCUGGAAGGUUAAUUGAUGGGGUUAGCGUAAGCGAAGCUCUUGAUCGAAGCCCCAGUAAACGGCGGCCGUAACAAUAACGGUCCUAAGGUAGCGAAAUUCCUUGUCGGGUAAGUUCCGACCUGCACGAAUGGCAUAAUGAUGGCGGCGCUGUCUCCAGCAGAGGCUCAGUGAAAUCGAAAUCGCUGUGAAGAUGCAGUGUACCCGCGGCUAGACGGAAAGACCCCGUGAACCUUUACUGCAGCUUGACAUUGAACUUUGACCUUACUUGUGUAGGAUAGGUGGGAGGCUAUGAAGAUGUGACGCCAGUUACAUUGGAGCCAUCCUUGAAAUACCACCCUGGUAAUAUUGAGGUUCUAACUCUGUCCCGUUAUCCGGGACGAGGACCAUGUCUGGUGGGUAGUUUGACUGGGGCGGUCUCCUCCUAAAGAGUAACGGAGGAGUACGAAGGUGCGCUCAGCGUGGUCGGAAAUCACGCGUAGAGUAUAAAGGCAAAAGCGCGCUUAACUGCGAGACCCACAAGUCGAGCAGGUACGAAAGUAGGUCUUAGUGAUCCGGUGGUUCUGUAUGGAAGGGCCAUCGCUCAACGGAUAAAAGGUACUC